rnacentral:lncRNA from 1 species
GUUCUGUACUAAGAAAAAUUCUUCUGCCUUGGGAUCCUGUUGAUCUGUGACCUUAUCCCCAACCCUGUGCUCUCUGAAACAUGUGCUGUGUCCACUCAGGUUUAAAUGGAUUAAGGGCGGUGCAAGAUGUGCUUUGUUAAACAGAUGCUUGAAGGCAGCAUGCUCGUUAAGAGUCAUCACCACUCCCUAAUCUUAAGUACCCAGGGACACAAACACUGCGGAAGGCCAAGGCCGCAGGGUCCUCUGCCUAGGAAAACCAGAGACCUUUGUUCACUUGUUUAUCUGCUGACCUUCCCUCCACUAUUGUCCUAUGACCCUGCCAAAUCCCCCUCUGCGAGAAACACCCAAGAAUGAUCAAUAAAAAAAAAUAAAUAAAUUAAAAAAAACAAACAAACAAACAAAAAAAGUUAUACUUUUUUUUUUCUGUUUGUCUUCAACUUUAUGGUGUCUUUCCAGAGAGAACAGUUAAAAUUUUUUUUUAAAAAUAAGCAUGUGUUAAAUCUUAUAGUUGAUUAAUUUUUUAAAUGAAGGAAAUGGUAAGAUAUUAUAAGCAGUUGAAAGGAUAAUCCAACAGACAUAUUUAUAUAUCAGAAAUAUUGAAAUGAAAGUGCAAAUGGAAAAAUAACUGGCUUCCUGCACAAUGGAAGAGGAAAAUCAAUGGAACUUUCACUGAAUAUAAUUAAUUUUCAUGUUUAUACAAGAAUUAUUUUGCAUUAAUAUCAGUUAUCUACAACUUACAGAGUUGUAAAGUAGCUCAAAGGCAAUGAUAGAGUUAGAUUUAGAUUACCUGUAAGAGUGUGCACUAAAAAUGCAUAGCUUUUUAUUAGAGACAACAAGUCCUCUUUUCUGCCUAUUCCAAAGUUCCUUACAUUGUCACAUUCUGGUUGAUAGGUUACCUCCAUCUCUGAUUAGUUACUGUAUAUUCGUGAAUCUUUUCCUCAUGAGCUACAGAUUGAGCAUCUCUAUCUUGUACUAUUUUUGCCUCCC